GAAAAAGAAGAAAAAGAAAAAGAACAAGAAAAAUCAACAGGAUGGCAAAGCUGUUACUGAGGUUGAAAAAGAUAAGAAGAAUGAAUCACAGGAAGAGAAUGCAGGGACUAAGCCUUCUCAUGCGAGGACAUUUGGAAAUGGAUUGGUCAUAGAGGAGCUGGCUAUGGGCAAGCCAGAUGGGAAAAAAGCUUCCCCUGGAAAGAAGGUUGGUGUACGUUAUAUUGGCAAGCUGAAGAAGAAUGGCAAAAUAUUCGAUUCCAAUAUUGGGAAAAGACCUUUUGAAUUUCGCUUAGGUAUUGGUCAAGUUAUAAAGGGUUGGGAUGUUGGUGUAAAUGGCAUGCGCGUUGGUGACAAAAGAAGGAUCACAAUCCCACCAGCCAUGGGUUAUGGGGCUAAAGGCGCUGGUCGUGACAUACCACCCAAUUCAUGGCUGGUAUUUGACGUUGAGCUGGUAAACGUUAAUUGACCUUGCCUUCAUAUUGUGGACGUUUUUGCCUGUUCAGCAUAAUUCUAAAAUUGUUGUCAUAGUAUUCUUUUUAUGCAAAAACGAGUUGGCUUCAUUUGCGGGGAGAACUUGUACAAAUUAUACAAGUAGAGCAGGGGUUACCAUUUUUGUAAGAUGACUCAAUUUCCGAUUCCUGCUAAAAUUUUGAAGUAUUGUUGUAUGACUUGUCGGAGAGUACUGUUGGAAGACCAAAAUCCUUGGAUGAUCAUGUUUUGCUUUCGAUAUACU
rnacentral:misc_RNA from 1 species